rnacentral:rRNA from 1 species
UACGUAGGGUGCGAGCGUUAAUCGGAAUUACUGGGCGUAAAGCGUGCGCAGGCGGUUGUGCAAGACCGAUGUGAAAGCCCCGGGCUCAACCUGGGAACGGCAUUGGUGACUGCACGGCUAGAGUGUGUCAGAGGGGGUAGAAUUCCACGUGUAGCAGUGAAAUGCGUAGAGAUGUGGAGGAAUACCGAUGGCGAAGGCAGCCCCCUGGGAUGACACUGACGCUCAUGCACGAAAGCGUGGGGAGCAAACAGG